CAACAACUGGCGCCCAAACGUGGGGCCCUCAGCACUCACCUCGCCCGGCAAGGGUUUCAGACGCGUCACUCAUCCGCUUCGCGGAUCCCGGGCUGGUGGACACUGGAGCUGACGUUACGGUGACUCGCGAUCCGGAGUGGCCGGACCGUUGUGGGUUCCGGCCUGGUGUGUGUGACCGGCACUGAAACAGCAUGGCGUGGCACCAGGGGCUAUCGAACCCCAUACCGGAGUU